UAGUGGCGGACGGGUGAGUAACGCGUAGGUAACCUGCCCUGUACAGGGGGAUAACACCUGGAAACGGGUGCUAAUACCGCAUAAGCGCACAGUAUCGCAUGAUACAGUGUGAAAAAGUGAUAGCAGUAUAGGAUGGACCUGCGUCUGAUUAGCUAGUUGGAGAGGUAACGGCUCACCAAGGCGACGAUCAGUAGCCGGCCUGAGAGGGUGAACGGCCACACUGGGACUGAGACACGGCCCAG
rnacentral:rRNA from 1 species